rnacentral:rRNA from 1 species
GAUGAACGCUGGCGGCGUGCCUAAUACAUGCAAGUCGAGCGAACAGACGAGGAGCUUGCUCCUCUGACGUUAGCGGCGGACGGGUGAGUAACACGUGGAUAACCUACCUAUAAGACUGGGAUAACUUCGGGAAACCGGAGCUAAUACCGGAUAAUAUAUUGAACCGCAUGGUUCAAUAGUGAAAGACGGUUUUGCCGUCACUUAUAGAUGGAUCCGCGCCGCAUUAGCUAGUUGGUAAGGUAACGGCUUACCAAGGCAACGAUGCGUAGCCGACCUGAGAGGGUGAUCAGCCACACUGGAACUGAGACACGGUCCAGACUCCUACGGGAGGCAGCAGUAGGGAAUCUUCCGCAAUGGGCGAAAGCCUGACGGAGCAACACCGCGUGAGUGAUGAAGGUCUUCGGAUCGUAAAACUCUGUUAUUAGGGAAGAACAAAUGUGUAAGUAACUAUGCACGUCUUGACGGUACCUAAUCAGAAAGCCACGGCUAACUACGUG